ensembl:misc_RNA Metazoa_SRP Metazoan signal recognition particle RNA
GCUGGGCGCGAUAGCGUGUGCCUGUAGUACCAGCUACUCGGGAGGCUGAGGUGGGAGGAUCACUUGAGCCCAGGAGUUCUGGGCUGUAGUGCGCUAUGCUGAUCGAGUGUCCGCACUAAGUUUGGCAUCAUUAUGGUGACCUCCCAGGAGUGGGGGACCACCAGGUUGCCUAAGGAGACGUGAAAUGAACCAGGUUGGAAACGGAGCAGGUCAAAACUCCCGUGCUGAUCAGUAAUGGGAUCGCACCUGUGAAAAGCCACUGCACUCCAGCCUGGGCAACAUAGCGAGAUUCCGUCUCAA